rnacentral:rRNA from 1 species
GAUGAACGCUGGCGGCGUGCCUAAUACAUGCAAGUCGAGCGAACGUACGAGAAGCUUGCUUCUCUUAUGUUAGCGGCGGACGGGUGAGUAACACGUGGAUAACCUACCUAUAAGACUUAGAUAACUUCGAGAAACCGUAGCUAAUACCGGAUAAUAUUUUGAACCGCAUGGUUCAAAAGUGAAAUACGGUCUUGCUGUCACUUAUAGCUGCAUCCGCGCUGCAUUAGCUAGUAGGUAAGGUAACGGCUUACCAAGGCAACGAUGCAUAGCCGACCUGAGAGGGUGAACGGCCACACUGGAACUGAGACACGGUCCAGACUCCUACGGGAGGCAGAAGUAGGGAAUCUUCGGAAAUGGGCGAAAGCCUGACGGAGCAACGCAGCGUGAGUGAUGAAGGUCUUCGGAUCGUAAAACUCUGUUAUUAGGGAAGAACAUAUGUGUAAGUAACUGUGCACAUCUUGACGGUACCUAAUCAGAAAGCCACGGCUAACUACGUG